GGGUUGUGAGGUUAAGCGACUAAGCGUACACGGUGGAUGCCCUGGCAGUCAGAGGCGAUGAAGGACGUGCUAAUCUGCGAAAAGCGUCGGUAAGGUGAUAUGAACCGUUAUAGCCGGCGAUGUCCGAAUGGGGAAACCCAGUGCAAUUCGUUGCACUAUCGUUAACUGAAUACAUAGGUUAACGAGGCGAACCGGGGGAACUGAAACAUCUAAGUACCCCGAGGAAAAGAAAUCAACCGAGAUUCCCCCAGUAGCGGCGAGCGAACGGGGAGCAGCCCAGAGUCUGAAUCAGCUUGUGUGUUAGUGGAACGGUCUGGAAAGUCCGACGGUACAGGGUGAUAGUCCCGUACACCAAAAUGCACAGGCUGUGAACUCGAAGAGUAGGGCGGGACACGUGGUAUCCUGUCUGAAUAUGGGGGGACCAUCCUCCAAGGCUAAAUACUCCUGACUGACCGAUAGUGAACCAGUACCGUGAGGGAAAGGCGAAAAGAACCCCGGCGAGGGGAGUGAAAAAGAACCUGAAACCGUGUACGUACAAGCAGUGGGAGCACCUUCGGGUGUGACUGCGUACCUUUUGUAUAAUGGGUCAGCGACUUAUAUUCUGUAGCAAGGUUAACCGUAUAGGGGAGCCGCAGGGAAACCGAGUCUUAACUGGGCGUUAAGUUGCAGGGUAUAGACCCGAAACCCGGUGAUCUAGCCAUGGGCAGGUUGAAGGUUGGGUAACACUAACUGGAGGACCGAACCGACUAAUGUUGAAAAAUUAGCGGAUGACUUGUGGCUGGGGGUGAAAGGCCAAUCAAACCGGGAGAUAGCUGGUUCUCCCCGAAAGCUAUUUAGGUAGCGCCUCGUGAACUCAUCUUCGGGGGUAGAGCACUGUUUCGGCUAGGGGGUCAUCCCGACUUACCAACCCGAUGCAAACUACGAAUACCGAAGAAUGUUAUCACGGGAGACACACGGCGGGUGCUAACGUCCGUCGUGAAGAGGGAAACAACCCAGACCGCCAGCUAAGGUCCCAAAGUCAUGGUUAAGUGGGAAACGAUGUGGGAAGGCACAGACAGCCAGGAUGUUGGCUUAGAAGCAGCCAUCAUUUAAAGAAAGCGUAAUAGCUCACUGGUCGAGUCGGCCUGCGCGGAAGAUGUAACGGGGCUAAACCAUGCACCGAAGCUGCGGCAGCGACACUAUGUGUUGUUGGGUAGGGGAGCGUUCUGUAAGCCUGCGAAGGUGACCUGUGAGGGUUGCUGGAGGUAUCAGAAGUGCGAAUGCUGACAUAAGUAACGAUAAAGCGGGUGAAAAGCCCGCUCGCCGGAAGACCAAGGGUUCCUGUCCAACGUUAAUCGGGGCAGGGUGAGUCGACCCCUAAGGCGAGGCCGAAAGGCGUAGUCGAUGGGAAACAGGUUAAUAUUCCUGUACUUGGUGUUACUGCGAAGGGGGGACGGAGAAGGCUAUGUUAGCCGGGCGACGGUUGUCCCGGUUUAAGCAUGUAGGCUGGUUGUCCAGGCAAAUCCGGAUAAUCAAGGCUGAGGUGUGAUGACGAGGCACUACGGUGCUGAAGUAACAAAUGCCCUGCUUCCAGGAAAAGCCUCUAAGCAUCAGGUAACAUCAAAUCGUACCCCAAACCGACACAGGUGGUCAGGUAGAGAAUACCAAGGCGCUUGAGAGAACUCGGGUGAAGGAACUAGGCAAAAUGGUGCCGUAACUUCGGGAGAAGGCACGCUGGUGUGUAGGUGAAGUCCCUGCGGAUGGAGCUGAGACCAGUCGAAGAUACCAGCUGGCUGCAACUGUUUAUUAAAAACACAGCACUGUGCAAACACGAAAGUGGACGUAUACGGUGUGACGCCUGCCCGGUGCCGGAAGGUUAAUUGAUGGGGUUAUCCGUAAGGAGAAGCUCUUGAUCGAAGCCCCGGUAAACGGCGGCCGUAACUAUAACGGUCCUAAGGUAGCGAAAUUCCUUGUCGGGUAAGUUCCGACCUGCACGAAUGGCGUAAUGAUGGCCAGGCUGUCUCCACCCGAGACUCAGUGAAAUUGAACUCGCUGUGAAGAUGCAGUGUACCCGCGGCAAGACGGAAAGACCCCGUGAACCUUUACUAUAGCUUGACACUGAACAUUGAGCCUUGAUGUGUAGGAUAGGUGGGAGGCUUUGAAGCGUGGACGCCAGUCUGCGUGGAGCCAACCUUGAAAUACCACCCUUUAAUGUUUGAUGUUCUAACGUUGGCCCUUACCGGGGUUGCGGACAGUGUCUGGUGGGUAGUUUGACUGGGGCGGUCUCCUCCCAAAGCGUAACGGAGGAGCACGAAGGUUAGCUAAUCCUGGUCGGACAUCAGGAGGUUAGUGCAAUGGCAUAAGCUAGCUUGACUGCGAGCGUGACGGCGCGAGCAGGUGCGAAAGCAGGUCAUAGUGAUCCGGUGGUUCUGAAUGGAAGGGCCAUCGCUCAACGGAUAAAAGGUACUCCGGGGAUAACAGGCUGAUACCGCCCAAGAGUUCAUAUCGACGGCGGUGUUUGGCACCUCGAUGUCGGCUCAUCACAUCCUGGGGCUGAAGUAGGUCCCAAGGGUAUGGCUGUUCGCCAUUUAAAGUGGUACGCGAGCUGGGUUUAGAACGUCGUGAGACAGUUCGGUCCCUAUCUGCCGUGGGCGCUGGAGAAUUGAGGGGGCUGCUCCUAGUACGAGAGGACCGGAGUGGACGCAUCACUGGUGUUCGGGUUGUCAUGCCAAUGGCACUGCCCGGUAGCUAAAUGCGGAAGAGAUAAGUGCUGAAAGCAUCUAAGCACGAAACUUGCCCCGAGAUGAGUUCUCCCUGAGACUUUAAGUCUCCUGAAGGAACGUUAAAGACGAUGACGUUGAUAGGCCGGGUGUGUAAGCGCAGCGAUGCGUUGAGCUAACCGGUACUAAUGAACCGUGAGGCUUAACCUUACAACGCCGAAG
rnacentral:rRNA from 1 species